rnacentral:rRNA from 1 species
CUGAACCAGCCAAGUAGCGUGAAGGAUGAAGGCUCUAUGGGUCGUAAACUUCUUUUAUAUAAGAAUAAAGUGCAGUAUGUAUACGGUUUUGUAUGUAUUAUAUGAAUAAGGAUCGGCUAACUCCGUGCCAGCAGCCGCGGUAAUACGGAGGAUCCGAGCGUUAUCCGGAUUUAUUGGGUUUAAAGGGAGCGUAGGUGGACUGGUAAGUCAGUUGUGAAAGUUUGCGG